rnacentral:lncRNA from 1 species
CAAAAUCAAAAUCUAUUCAAGUAAAAAAAUCUUGAAAGAAAGUCGGCAACUACAAGACAAUAACACUGCAUAGUGUAGAAAUAAAGAGUAUUACCGUACUACUAUUAAAGAACACAAGAGGACCAUCUAUUAAUCAACUUGUUCAGUAUUUCAGUCAAGAAUGUCCUUUCUUCUUUAAAACGACGCCAUGCAUAUAAUUAAACACUUCGUUAAACAUGCCACGAUGUUUAUUUUGGUAAUUUUCUUUUACCCUAGUUACUAUUUCCUACUACUAUUUGAUAAGCAUUCCCUUCAAAUAACAUGGUGAAUAUUUUAAUUCAAGAUGAGUUUAUUAUUUAACAUCUCAAAGCCAAGUUUAAGCAUAGAGUUAUAAUACACUUCACAUGCUUGAGUAAUCCUUUUGGUAUACAAACAAACAUGGGUGCACUCUUUUCUCACUAAGCAUGGCCAACAUGACCCACACCACACCCUUUGUGAUAUCUAGAUCUCCUGCAGAUGUAAAAAAAACACACACAAUCUCAGCCAUUGAUUUGAGAUCAAACCUUCACUAAAUUAUCAUCACCAUUCAUUUCAUAUAUGGAAGUGUCAAAAUCAAUAACUACGUGACACAAUUAUUGUGACUUAUUUUCAACAUGGUCUAGCUAGCCUAUAACCCCACUACCUCAUAUCCUCACUCAAAAGCUGGCAUUAUUAGACAAACGCAUCUACACUGAAAGUGAUUGAAAGUGGAAUCCAAUGAAUAUACAGCUUCUUACUAUAAUAAAAAAAAAUAUAAAUUAUUUACAAGAUAAGAAGAGGACACAAAAUUUAGAUCUGAGCACUUUUCUUUGAGUGAAAAUGAAGUUCUUGUUUCAGUGUCCUUGUUGCUCAUGCUUUUGCUUCAUGAAGCCAAAGGCUGGGAAAGCAAAGGUGAAAGAAGUGAGCAAGGAAGCUAAAGCAACUAAGGAAGUGAAAGAAGUGAAAGAAGCUAAGAAGGAAGAAAAGAUUGAAGAAAAGAAAGAGUGACAACAUGUCAAAUGUAAUGUAACAACUCCAUUGCAAACUUUCUUUGGUUGUUUAAUUUUAGUGAUUAUUUUCCUAUGUUUGGUUAUCAACAAAUAUUAUCAUUAAGCAUGCACAGCAACAUGUGCAAUAUGCUUUGUGCUUCUUGGUGUUGAGCAUUGACAUGCUUUUUAUUAUGAGUUUGAAAAUGCUUCAAGUGGAAAAUAAAUUGCCAUUUCAAUAAUGAAUAUUUCCAUUAUAUGGUGAUCUAAUGUAGUCAAGCUCAUUUGAUAUCCGUGACAAGUAUGUUAGGUUUAUAAUGGUUACUAAUUUCUACUACUUUUAACUUUUGGGAUGAUAAUAGAAAAUGGGAGAUGGAACUAAAUAGUUGAUACAUAUGAUACAAUUUUUUUCUAUUGAAGAAGAAAUUAUACAUUCCUCUUCAAAUCCACCCUCCUCUAUUUAGAGGGGAAAAGUCACAUUUUAAUAUAAUAAAUAUUUUUAAUUUUCAAAAUUGAUCUAUUGUUAGAAAACUUAGAUUUAAGAAUGUGUUUCUCGCAAUAUAUUAAUAAUUUAUGUGUUGAAUAUAUAAAGAAUUUUGUUUUGAUUUCAAUUGAAUUGAUCUUGAAAGUUGAGUACAAAGUUUUUUUCCUAACUAGUAUAAUUUAACAAGUUAAAUAAUCGAUAUAUAUUCUUACCACUAAAAAUUUGACGCUUCUCUUUAUUGGGGUUCGCCGGACUUCUCAUAAAAUAUUGGUUUUCUCCUCGCACCUUUUGCAAGAUGGAUUUCUUUUAAAGAGAAUCGGUUUAAAGGGGGUGAUUAUUGAUUUUAGUGGGAUUUUUUGUUUGUUAUGUGGGAAUUUGGUUAAAUUGGUCUCUCAGUUUUUGUCACUUGUGAGUUAACUUUUUCUGUGUGGUAUAUGAUUUUAUGGUGGUCAAGUAUAGAGGCACUUAAUCGGUUAAUCCUCCUAGUGACCAUAUGAUUUUUUUUUAGUCUUGUUUUUCUCUAGAUGGUAGGGCCAAAUCUAGGUGGUAGGACAAAGUCUAAGGAUGAUUUUGUUAUGAUCGGACACGUAGUAUGAACUAUUUAGACUAUGUAGUUCAGGGGUGAACUCAUACACUUACUCUAACUGGUUUUAGAACCUUAUCCUCUACCUUAAUCAAUAACGGAUCGAAUAUUUGUCUUGGUUAGAUACUAAUAUGUUGUUUUUUAUCUCUUAAUAAAUUCCAAUCUCUUGAAGUUGAUUCUGGCAGUAUGAGAUGGUAUGAAUCUUACGAGAUUGGUCUGCUUAAACACGUUUAAGUGUCUAUUUUGUUUGAUUCACUCUUCUAUUGAUCGUAGUGUUUUUUCCG